AGGAGUGGGGCAACUUCCCCAGAAUCCCAGUGCUCUCUGACAGGGUCUGAGGAUUCCUUAGGCAGUCUGGAUGAGAGAGAGAAAAGGCUGCUGACCAGUGAGAUGAACUACUGGACUAAGGAGAGGAGGAGGAAUGGCAGUGCAGGGUGCCGCCAUAAAUCCACUCGCAGAACCUCAUCACCAUGCUGUUCGCCUAAGAGCGUUCCAAGAGAGGAAACAAAAAGGACUGCCAUUCAGUCCAGGAACAGACUGAGAUUCCCUCUACUGAUGGACAUUGCAUAGGUAAGGACUUUAGAGCUCUGCUAUAGCUUGUAGUUUUGUU
rnacentral:lncRNA from 1 species